rnacentral:tRNA from 1 species
GGCAAGAUGGCCGAGCGGUCUAAGGCGCUAGCUUCAGGUUACAGAGUAUCCUCGUAUGCUAGUCAAGUAAUUGGCGUGGGUUCGAAUCCCACUCUUGUCA